ACGCUCGACACCUACGGGAGGUAGCAGUGAGGAAUAUUGGUCAAUGGGCGCAGGCCUGAACCAGCCAAGUAGCGUGAAGGAUGACUGCCCUAUGGGUUGUAAACUUCUUUUAUAUGGGAAUAAAGUUUUCCACGUGUGGAAUUUUGUAUGUACCAUAUGAAUAAGGAUCGGCUAACUCCGUGCUAGCAGCCGCGGUAAUCUGAGCGGGCUGGCAAGGC
rnacentral:rRNA from 1 species